GCGGAGUCGGUACCCGAGCGAGCAGGCGGCCGGCGGCAUGGCGACACGAGCCGGUCCGCUGACAGGAGAGGAUGUGCGGAUGAGUGUGAGGAGGAGAAACCGGGGAUCCUCCUGGUCCGUGGUCAGUCGGUCAGAUACAUGUGAGGGCAGAUAAGCCUCCGCAGUGAGCCGGGCGCCGCGACAGAACGCUCCACGUUCCUGCGCCUCACCUUCACGCCGAGGCAGAGGUGCAGAGGUCACACUGAACAGAUCCGCCACCUCCUCCACUCAGACUCGUUCCAGGUCACAUCCCUGUUUAUCCAGAGUCAUAAAAUAUGAACCAUCUGUGUCAAGUCUUGAGUAAUGGCUAGAAAAUGUUUUGUGAGGUCACACUGACCUUGACCUUUGACCUUUAGCCACCAGGGUCUAAUCAGUUCGUCCUUGAGUCCUGGUGAAUGUUUGUGCCAAAGUUCUGUCAUGGCGUUACUUAGAUAUCGUGUCCACGAGAAUGACGACAACCUGAAAACAAAAUGGCGGCUCCGACUGUCGCCGGCGAGGAGGCUUAAAAAAACAACAAACAAAAAAACAAUGUGCUUUUUAAAGAACACUUUUUGCUGAAUGCACAAACAAGCAGAAAAACACGAGCAGGACCAGAGUCGUUACACCACAAACAGGCUGCGAGCUGAAUUAAAAGGCGGCUAAAUGAAGAUUAAAAGAAACGUCCAUUAAAGAAGAGACGGUGUUUCCUCGUCCUCGUCCUUGGAUCACAUCUCCUAUCAGCAUAAUGAGGAAAUGCUGUUAAUGAGCGAAUCCGCCUCGUCGCCAAGCGUUGAUACGGAGCCGCUAAAUGUUCAAUUAGCACAUAUUUAUUUUUCUUACGAUAAUAAACUGCUCACAGCAGCUGAAGCAGGACGCCGAGUUUUACUCCACAGAGCAGGUUGUGUUUUCACCUGUGACUGUUUGUUUGUUUGUUUGUUUGUUUGUUUGUUUGUCAGCAGCAUUACUCAAAAAGUGAAUCUGCAUCAGACCUGACGGACGGAUGAGUCAUGACCCAGAGAAAAACCCUUUAAACUUUGGUGCAGAUCUGAAUCAUCAUUGAAAAUCAAAUAACUUUUGAAACGUAUUAUUAAAUGCAGAACUGUAUUUAUUUUUGCCUUUGUUUUGUUUUUCUUAUUUCAUUAUAGUUUAGUUUUUUCUUUUCAUAUUUAAUUCAGGCCAUUGAGCCUGAUUGCUUUUGUCUGGUUGUGUUUGAGUUGAUUAUUUGGUUUGUUUAGUCUCAGUGAAGUUUGAUCUGUGUUUAAUGUUUUUGUCUUCUGGUUAUUUUUGUUCAAUUUAAAAAAAGAAAAAGAAAAGUAAAAAAAAAUAAUAAUAAUAACACCCUAAACUUGUGCAAUAUGAUCCGUGCAAUUUACCUGUGUGCAAUAAAACUGAGCAUAUGCACUUA